rnacentral:misc_RNA from 1 species
UUUUUUUUUUUUUGGGGGUAAAUAAAAAGUAAGAAAGAUUGUGUUGUUUCAAUCGCAUAAAGCUAAAACGGUUGCCUUGGAACCCAUAGUUUGUUAAUAUAUAAUAUAUAGAGAGAGAAAAAUGAAGAAGGAAAGCAAUCGAAAUGUAGAGAGAGAGAAAGGUAGGACACAGGAGUUCCUACUUGGCUGCUAGUCUCUCGUUUGGGCACGGCCGCCACGUUGA